UAUCCCUGUUCCCUCCAGUGGAAGGACUCUUCUGUUCCCUGUCCAGUCCUGUCAGGUCCUUAUGGCAGUAGAUUAACAGUAUCUGUGUAUAUGUUGCCUGUGGUGUGUGUCAGCUUGGCCUGGGUUCACCAUGGACACAAUCCCCCUUCCGUGUGUGUGUGGCGGUGUGCUGUCAGCUUGGCCUGGGGUCUGUGACACGAGUCCCCCUCCGGCAGGACAAGAGGCCUCUCCACAGGGUCAGCUGCUGGCCCUAAAGACGCCCAGUCACCCGUGACUUAAUGCCCCCGGGCGCUAUUGUCCCCAGGGCCUGUUGCUUUUACAGACCCAUUCACUCAAUUGCCCCCAAGAGGAGGGGCACAAGGCCUGGCGACUUGCCUUCUGCUGGGGCAGCAUCAACAGUACAGACAAACGCGCACGCAAAUAUCCACUAGAUCAAUCUGUUUCUUGUCUGGGCAGGACUUGAGCUAUUGUUGCUUUCAGAUGGUCUGGACUGGCUUGAGACAUGUCAAAGGCUUACUGCCUCUUAAUUGGUUGUUGGCAUCAGCCUGUAAAGCCUUGUGUUUACUGAGUGUAUUGUUUUGGUCCUGCACAGGGCACUCCUUAUUGACUUAGCUUGGCCACACAUGCACCUGUUGGGUAUCAGUACAGACAUGUGUACUAUACAGACGUGUGUACUAUACAGACGUGUGUACUAUACAGUGUAUUGACAGGAAUCUAUUUUAGUAGUACUGUAGCACAUCAAUCAAUGGGUAAAGCAUUUAUUGAUUUUAGAGAAGUAUGUUUUACUUCAAAUAUAUAUAUACUGUUUCAAGUCAUUAUGUUGUACAGUGCUCAAACUUUGCUGUGUGAAUUGGUGUUCAAUGCAGAGAGGGUCCCUCCCCCUCCUGUAUUUCCCCUACACACACACACACACACACACACACACACACACACACACACAUACUGCCACUGCCAGCCUUUGUGUAUGCCAGACAGCAGAUGGCAGCCAUUAUAGCACUGACAGGGCAGUCAUCUGGCAGGCACCCUGUUGGUGUCCUGCUGAACACACAGCACCACUGAGGGGAUGAGACACUUUAGGCGGGAAAACCAAAUUGUGUGUGUGUGUUUUGGUCCCUUUCUGCUGUAAAUAGGUCCUAGGUCUCCAGUUCCCCCGUGUAUGUUAGUGCUGUGAGGUUAAACAGGCUCACUAAUGAACAGCGGUACCUAACUGGUAUACUAGAGGAGCCUGCUGCCUGACUACACUUUUAGCAACAAACAACAGAUUCACAAUGAGGGGCGAUACAAUACAUUGGACUGGGUUGGUCUGUGUGGUUUGCGUUUCUUUCUGGGUGUAUCUGAGGUGUAACUUGUGUGUGUGUGUGUGUGUGUGUGUGUGUGUGUGUGUGUGUGUGUGUGUGUGUGUGUGUGUGUGUGUGUGUGUGUGUGUGUGUGUGUGUGUGUGUGUGUGUGUGUGUGUGUGUGUGUGUGUGUGUGCUUAGUCAAGGUUUCCUGGUUGAAUGGGCAUGGAAGACAGUGUAUGAGGGGUACAGACUGUGUUCACUGGGGGUGGGGCAGGGCUCAGCACUCUCCUGCAUAGCAUCUGCUGCUCCACAGGUGAGGAGGGGAAAGAACAGGUGUCAGGCAGGUGAACAUCCCCCCUCUACACACACACCAGCCCUCUGGACCUCUAGCCUCUAUGAGAGUAGGGCCUCUGUCACUCUGUGUGUAGCUGUCACUGUCCCCACUGGAUGUCAACCACAAUAAUCCACAUAGCAAGGCUUUAUUCCAGGAGUUAGAGAGAGGCAGAGUUUGACCCUGGAUUAGAGAUAAUUAAAGCACUGAUUGAAUGAAUGAAUGGAUGAAGGAGAGUAGAGAGAGGAGAGGCCAGUCAGAGGGGGAAAGCUUCUCCUCUCUCAGAGGCGCUAAGCCUUUCUCAGCAGAUGGCUGUGGCGGCCAGGCCUCCAGCAUCAAACAUCCUAUAUCACAUACUAAGAAAUCAGGAAGAUGUGCGAAGGAACACCAAGAUGUUGGAAAACUGUUCAGACACUAUUUCUGCUUCCAUCUUCAACAACACAGAGGUUCAGACUGACCAUGCAACUAGUCAUAAAUUACAGGACGGCUUUUGGCUUUGGUGUUUUUUUUUAAACGCUUACCUUUUUAACCAGCAUUCCCUGUAGUUCGCAUUACUGCUUGCUAGUGCCAUAAUCUCACAUAUCAGGCGGGGAUAUGGUCCUUGUUAGAAUAGAUCUGAUCUAAGUUUAUCAAUGGACACAUCACUGGGCUGGUGGAUGUGGUGUCUAAAUCUAAUAGAGGUCAAGGUUAGGAUUAGGAUUAGAGAGUUGGAGCUUUAGUCCUUCCAAAGGAUACAUUCCACAGCGUUGCCCUUUCAAAGGAUACAUUCUACAGCGUACUCCAGUCGUGGCCAUGCUGGGAGGUACCACUGAAGACUGUGUUGAGCCCAGAGAGAGAGAGCUGUUUUACCAUUGCCUGGGCAACCUUCACAAUAAUGAUGCCAUUUCCUUUGGCAGUGCCUUUCAACACGCCUCAAUCACACAUCCUCUCACUUCGCAGGGCUUUUUUCAGUUCCGUUGAAUGGAAGACUCUUGCCGUGGUACAUGCUGUAGUGGAAUAUGUUACUAACUAGAAUUAAGGGAUAUCAGCCGCAAGUACGGGUUUGAUUAUUUUUUAUGAAAAAUACAUUCUUGGCUGAUGUUGGGUUUAACACAAAUGAAAUUGAACAAUUUAUAGUCAAAAGGAAAUAUAUCAAUGAUUUAGUGCUGCUCUGGAACGUCAUAGUUGCAGAGAAUACAGCCUAAUAUGGAUGACAACAUGGAACAGAAAGCUCAGGCAGACUCAUGGAACAGAAAGCUCAAGCAGACUCAUGGAACAUUAUUUGGCUGAAGUAAACACAGUUAGCUUCAUAAAAUAUAGUCAUAAAUCUGAUCCCCCUAUUCAACCCUUCAAUUUACGGCUUGCUUAAUGUCACAUCUUAAUCCCGGAAAAUGUAUAUACGGUACACCAUUGAUAUUUCUUAAACACUUUACAGAGGAGGCAGGGAAGUAGUUACCCUCACUCCAGCUCUCCAAUGAUGCAGCCAGCAGUUCAGUCAUAGACUAGCAUUAGUGAUGUAACUAUGGCAACCCUACCUGGCCCCAUUGGGGGUGGGCACAAAAUGUAGUCACUUUUCGCUAUACCCAAUCUCCUCCUCUCUCCUCCCUCCUUUCCCCUCUUGUGCCUGUUUCUCUCCCCACACACCACCGUCCAUCGUAGCAUCUUAGUCGGCCAUGUAGCCCGUGUUGCUGGACCCAUGACAAUCACUCCUCCGACGGUGCUUGGAUAGGAUCCUGUGGAGGAAACUUGGGGAGCUGUGUGCCUGUGGCUGGGGUUGGGGCAGGGGCUGGGGCAGCCUGUUAGGGAGAGAGAUCUGGGACUUCAGUAUCAGGAUGGGGCCCUCUCUCUCCCCCUCGGCCCCCUCCGGCCCCCCUCCUGCCGCUGCUCUGCUGGCUCUGCGGAGGGCCUGCAGCCUGAGUGCGCUGGAGAACAAAGAAGACACAACAAACACAAAGGACAUGUUUAUUCCCGCUGACCCAAAUUCCAGCGCUCAGCGCAGACAAGACAAGCGCAGGGCUGUUCAGGGGGCUCGCUCUGGUGUGUGUGUGUGUGUGUGUGUGUGCGUGCGUGCGUGUGUGUGUGUGUGUGUGUGUGUGUGCAGGCUGUUGCAGCUCAAGGAGCUACGUUCACCUCUACACACAUUAGGAGGGGCCUAAGUCACACGGCACAACUAAAAUGUAUAAUCUUGGAUCAUCUCUAAAACAACAUCCAACUACUGUUUACAUUUCCACGUUCACUGAGGGCACUUCAGUCAGAUUAUACAGACAGUUCUGUUCCACUGUUUGACAUUAUGAAACACAAUAUUUUUUGAGGGAAAGAGGGAGCCCUCAUCUACUCCCCUGAACACAGGUCUGUGACUGUGAGCCCCCACUGUGUGAGGGAGCAGCAGUGCAGUGAGUGGGAAUUGAUCAGGGAGGGAGGGGUGGGGGGUAAUCUGUGUGCUUUGUCAACUAAUGAGGGAUGAGAGGGGCCACCUGUUCAGGGUGCGCUGGGCGGAGGGGAACUGGAGGAGGUGGAGGCAGUGAGGGGUGUGUGUGUGUGGGGAGCAGCUGCUGGGGUGUGUGUAUGAGUUGUGUACACGCACUUGUGGAGGGGGGUUUGAUUGAGGAUAGUGUGUGUUUGUGUCUUUCUGAGUGUGUAUCUGUGUGUGUGUUUUGGGCGCGUUGCUCUCACCCAGUACCACCUGCAUACGUGGCCGGAGCUGAACCCCGUCUCGCUAAGCGGUGGACGUCUUUAGCUGGCUCAUCGUCCUAACAACACAAACAGAGGUGUGUCAAUGACAGGGUGGGAUUACUGCUGGGACUGUUCUGUAUUGCUAUCCCUCUGUCCUGUCAAAAACUCAGGUAUGCUAUUCUAACCAGACAUACUUCUCUGUAAAUCAGCAGAGCUAUUCUUUAUGAAUAGUAGGGGUGGGCAAUCUUAUAUCUGCGAGCAGUGCAAGGGCAUACGAGGUGUGUAUGCAGGCUUUUGUUCCAGCCAAGCACCAACACGAUUGAUUUAACUAAUUCAAGUCUUGAUUGAUGACUAUAAAUAGAAUAGAGUAGAAAUAGAGCCUUGUUACACACAGAGACGGAAUGUUGCUUUUGCCUAGCAUAAGACAAUUUCCACUAGCCACUAACCUGGUGGCUCAGCUCCACAACAUGCGAGGCCGGGAAGUAUCCCUGCUGUCCGUUUUGCAGCCGCCCAAACCACCGGGCCUCAUCAUCUUUACACAGAACCAGGAUGAACUCCCCCCGGGUCAGCGCCAGCUCAUCUGGCCAGUGGGGCUUGUAGCUGCGCUUUACCACCAUCUAGUGGAUUAAUCGAGAAAUGCAACUUCAAUACAUUUUAUAUGUAACAAGACAGAUGCAGUAUUUGAGCACAUGCAGCGGUGUUCCUUAUGUCUGUCACAGUAUAUGCUUGUCUAUGCAGUAAGUUUAUAUGAUAUAUCAUGACAUGUCCAAUUCAUUGUUCCAUUCCUCAGCUCAUUCACAUUGAGUCUAUGCCUGAAUGAAUGAAGAGGAUUAGGUGGCUGGCUAAAACUCUAUGGAUUACCUGGCUCACAGUUAUAAAGAAACCCAAUCACCUGCUGUUCUCCAUGAUCUGUUCUCUUUAGUCUCAUGGUAAUGAAUGACAUAACAGACAGCAUCUAAUUUGAACUAACUAAUGCAAUUGUCUCUACAGACAAGUGUAGCUGGAGACACAAAAACAAUCUACAUUAGAUGUCUCAUGCUUGCAUGAACAGAAUCCAGGGGAUAUGAGGGUGAAUUGCGGAGCAAAUCUACCAAUUGUAUCAACAAGUUGAAUUCAUCCAAGCAUAUUUUCAUUCAACAUAGUUAAUAAAUAUUGAGGAUCUGAGAGUGAGCAUUAACAGGAAAAUAACUUGCCUGGUCAGCCUCUGCCUGUCUGAAUUGGCAUCGUCCCCGGUGAACUGGUAAACAAGGAGAGAUGAAUCAGCAAAAAAUAGCUCCCAUCACAAAGAACUAUAGCAAAGCAUCAGGGGAGGAAAAGUUGGUGGAAAAAAGAACAACAUGAUUCUAGAUGUAUUUCAGUCUGCCAUCAAUACCCAGGGACCAUACAGUAUGCAAAAUAAACAACUGCAGUAUACACUACAAAUCAAAUGGAAUGGAAUUUUAAUCAUCAUUGAAAAGUCAAUAUCAUGAAUCUUAAUAAUUACAAUAAUGUGCUAAUAAUUACAAUAAUGUGCUAAUUAUGUGCUGCACACACACAAGUUAAGCGCCGCACUUUCAAAAAAAGAUGGCAGUUUUGAAACUGCAGUAACAGUGCAGUAACUACAGUCAACUGUGUUACUUUGGAUGCAGUAAUUGCAGCAUCUUUUUUUCAGAAGGGUGUAUUUCCUUGCCAAGCUUCUCCCAUCUAGCCCACUGCAGAUACCCAUAUACAUUUAUAGAUAUAUACACACACACACACAUAUCUAUAUCUCUAUCUAUAUAUGCAUAGUGAUGUAAGCAGCAACUUGCUACUGUGCUACUCACCUUGUGGGGAGAGGACAGUGGUAAAGACUUCAAAGUGCUCAUUCUGCUGCCUGUAGAUGUUGCUCUGCAUGCUGACUGAAUGACUUAGGACCUAAGUCAUACACACUGACUAACUGACUAAGCAACCCAGUCUCUCAUUAACUAUGUACUCUAUGUACAACUAGGCAGUUAUGCACUGAUGUGUCUGCACCCUCUCUCUG
ensembl:lncRNA